UAUACUGCAAGUCGAGCGGAUCGAUGGGAGCUUGCUCCCUGAGAUCAGCGGCGGACGGGUGAGUAACACGUGGGUAACCUGCCUGUAAGACUGGGAUAACUCCGGGAAACCGGGGCUAAUACCGGAUAACACCUACCCCCGCAUGGGGGAAGGUUGAAAGGUGGCUUCGGCUAUCACUUACAGAUGGACCCGCGGCGCAUUAGCUAGUUGGUGAGGUAAUGGCUCACCAAGGCGACGAUGCGUAGCCGACCUGAGAGGGUGAUCGGCCACACUGGGACUGAGACACGGCCCAGACUCCUACGGGAGGCAGCAGUAGGGAAUCUUCCGCAAUGGACGAAAGUCUGACGGAGCAACGCCGCGUGAGUGAAGAAGGUUUUCGGAUCGUAAAACUCUGUUGUUAGGGAAGAACAAGUGCCGUUCGAAUAGGGCGGCGCCUUGACGGUACCUAACCAGAAAGCCACGGCUAACUACGUGCCAGCAGCCGCGGUAAUACGUAGGUGGCAAGCGUUGUCCGGAAUUAUUGGGCGUAAAGCGCGCGCAGGUGGUUUCUUAAGUCUGAUGUGAAAGCCCACGGCUCAACCGUGGAGGGUCAUUGGAAA
rnacentral:rRNA from 1 species